GCUGCCUGUUUCAUCCCUAGGCAAAGCAUGCCUUUUCCUUCCUUCAGCCGCUUCCUGGAAGGUCCCAGUUCCUAAAAGAACUUAAUAUAACUUGAGCUCAGUCCUGUAGUUGACCAAACGCUCUGUUCCAUUAGCUGUGCCUGACAGGAGCAGUGGUGCUUGAUUUAUGCCAGAUUUCAUGUUCUGUUGGCCCACAAUACCAAACAUGACUUCAACAUCUUGUGUCCAUAUUUUGCUCAGACUCUUUGACAUGAGCUUGGGAGAGCUGAUCUGGGCAGCAGAAGGUUGCCCAGUCCCUUGCCUAGCUUCCAGCUGUGGAUGCUGUACAUCUACAAAGGGCAAUUGCACCUUCAACUGAGACUUGAGGAAUCCUUGUCAUGGGAAGAAAAGCACAGAAGGUGAUGUGCUUCUGGUCACCUGAUGACUUACAAGGUCUCUUUCUUCUCACAUUAUCCUUUCAGUGCAUGGAUGAGAGGAAGGAAAAGGCUGCUCAAACUGGCAGGUUCUCCCAACCAUGUGUCCUUCUGGCAGCUGUGUGGAUGUGAUGGGGAUGGAAGCCCAGGACAGCCCAGUGAUGGAUAAGGUCUUCUGGAUGUUCUUUUAGGUUUUUGCAAAAGCCUUGCAAAGAAACUGCAAGGUCUCGGCAAGAAGACUGAUUUUGCAUCAGAUCCAAGCCUCAGAGAGCCUGCAAGCCCUGAGGUACAGCCAACCCACAGGGAAUGAGUCUGAAGGGUACUGUUUGGCAACAGUGGAACCCAAGAGAGUGUUUAGCUGUAGAUGCAAUAGGAAUUGUUCCUGCAGUUUAUUUUUACAUGCUUAGAGGGUGAAUGAGUUUGGAAGAUUUGGAGAGAAUCAGAGAAUUAGCAGAAUGAAUUAUUAUUGGUUAUUUAUACAAAAUAACAAAUAUAUUUCCUGGUACAACAUUGUGUGUCCAGGGAUGAUGAGAGGUGCUUUUGCAGAAAUGCUGGUGGGGAAAUAUUUAAAAGAAGAUCUUUUUGCCCAAUAAGGAAGAGACCAAGAUACAGAAAAGUUCCCCAAUAUGGAGGCACCAGGGAAAGACUGACCUGUAGCAGGGAAACCUAGGCAGGAGAUGCUGAGAGUCUGGCAGGAGAGGAGUGUGAAGCCCCAUUCCUGGCCAGUUUGGUUUGAAGGACUAAGGUUUAUGUGGCUAAUCUUUUCAUGUCAGCUAUCCCACUGUGCAAGAGAGCUAUAGUGUACCCCUAUGAGGACAUUUCACCUGUAGAAACAAGACAGGACCUGGCACCAAGGGACCCUGUUUGGAAGCACGUGGUGGAGACGAAAUCAACACUGAAAGACUGUGAAAAAUAAAUGUACAAAGAUGUUC